CUGCGAAUGGCUCAUUAAAUCAGUUAUCGUUUAUUUGAUAGUACCUUACUACUUGGAUAACCGUGGUAAUUCUAGAGCUAAUACAUGCUAAAAACCCCAACUUCGGGAGGGGUGUAUUUAUUAGAUAAAAAACCAACGCCCUUCGGGGCUCCUUGGUGAAUCAUAAUAACUUAACGGAUCGCAUGGCCUUGCGCCGGCGACGGUUCAUUCAAAUUUCUGCCCUAUCAACUUUCGAUUGUAGGGUAUUGGCCUACAAUGGUAUCAACGGGUAACGGGGAAUUAGGGUUCGAUUCCGGAGAGGGAGCCUGAGAAACGGCUACCACAUCCAAGGAAGGCAGCAGGCGCGCAAAUUACCCAAUCCCGACACGGGGAGGUAGUGACAAUAAAUACUGAUACAGGGCUCUUUUGGGUCUUGUAAUUGGAAUGAGUACAAUUUAAAUCCCUUAACGAGGAACAAUUGGAGGGCAAGUCUGGUGCCAGCAGCCGCGGUAAUUCCAGCUCCAAUAGCGUAUAUUAAAGUUGUUGCAGUUAAAAAGCUCGUAGUUGAACCUUGGGCCUGGCUGGCCGGUCCGCCUCACCGCGUGCACUGGUCCGGCCGGGCCUUUCCUUCUGGAGAGCCGCAUGCCCUUCACUGGGUGUGUCGGGGAACCAGGACUUUUACUUUGAAAAAAUUAGAGUGUUCAAAGCAGGCCUUUGCUCGAAUACAUUAGCAUGGAAUAAUAGAAUAGGACGUGCGGUUCUAUUUUGUUGGUUUCUAGGACCGCCGUAAUGAUUAAUAGGGAUAGUCGGGGGCAUCAGUAUUCAAUUGUCAGAGGUGAAAUUCUUGGAUUUAUUGAAGACUAACUACUGCGAAAGCAUUUGCCAAGGAUGUUUUCAUUAAUCAGUGAACGAAAGUUAGGGGAUCGAAGACGAUCAGAUACCGUCGUAGUCUUAACCGUAAACUAUGCCGACUAGGGAUCGGGCGAUGUUAUUAUUUUGACUCGCUCGGCACCUUACGAGAAAUC
rnacentral:rRNA from 1 species